UACGUAGGGGGCAAGCGUUGUCCGGAAUCAUUGGGCGUAAAGAGCGUGUAGGCGGCCCGGUAAGUCCGCUGUGAAAGUCCAGGGCUCAACCCUGGGAUGCCGGUGGAUACUGUCGGGCUCGAGUCCGGAAGAGGAGUGUGGAAUUCCUGGUGUAGCGGUGAAAUGCGCAGAUAUCGGGAGGAACACCGGUGGCGAAGGCGGUUCUCUGGGCCUUACCUGACGCUGAGGAGCGAAAGCGUGGGGAGCGAACAGG
rnacentral:rRNA from 1 species